UCGUGGAGGCUUCGGCCUAAACCCCAACCAUUGUGAACGAUUCCAGCGGCUUAGCUGGUGGCGGUGAAUAACUGCCCUGGCGGCACGCGAGACUCUUCUAAUGUUAUCUCUGAGUUACUUUUAAUAAGUUA
rnacentral:misc_RNA from 1 species